AGAGUUUGAUCAUGGCUCAGAUUGAACGCUGGCGGCAGGCCUAACACAUGCAAGUCGAACGGUAACAGGAAGCAGCUUGCUGCUUUGCUGACGAGUGGCGGACGGGUGAGUAAUGUCUGGGAAACUGCCUGAUGGAGGGGGAUAACUACUGGAAACGGUAGCUAAUACCGCAUAACGUCGCAAGACCAAAGAGGGGGACCUUCGGGCCUCUUGCCAUCGGAUGUGCCCAGAUGGGAUUAGCUAGUAGGUGGGGUAACGGCUCACCUAGGCGACGAUCCCUAGCUGGUCUGAGAGGAUGACCAGCCACACUGGAACUGAGACACGGUCCAGACUCCUACGGGAGGCAGCAGUGGGGAAUAUUGCACAAUGGGCGCAAGCCUGAUGCAGCCAUGCCGCGUGUAUGAAGAAGGCCUUCGGGUUGUAAAGUACUUUCAGCGGGGAGGAAGGCGUUGUGGUUAAUAACCACAGCGAUUGACGUUACCCGCAGAAGAAGCACCGGCUAACUCCGUGCCAGCAGCCGCGGUAAUACGGAGGGUGCAAGCGUUAAUCGGAAUUACUGGGCGUAAAGCGCACGCAGGCGGUCUGUCAAGUCGGAUGUGAAAUCCCCGGGCUCAACCUGGGAACUGCAUUCGAAACUGGCAGGCUAGAGUCUUGUAGAGGGGGGUAGAAUUCCAGGUGUAGCGGUGAAAUGCGUAGAGAUCUGGAGGAAUACCGGUGGCGAAGGCGGCCCCCUGGACAAAGACUGACGCUCAGGUGCGAAAGCGUGGGGAGCAAACAGGAUUAGAUACCCUGGUAGUCCACGCCGUAAACGAUGUCGACUUGGAGGUUGUGCCCUUGAGGCGUGGCUUCCGGAGCUAACGCGUUAAGUCGACCGCCUGGGGAGUACGGCCGCAAGGUUAAAACUCAAAUGAAUUGACGGGGGCCCGCACAAGCGGUGGAGCAUGUGGUUUAAUUCGAUGCAACGCGAAGAACCUUACCUACUCUUGACAUCCAGAGAACUUAGCAGAGAUGCUUUGGUGCCUUCGGGAACUCUGAGACAGGUGCUGCAUGGCUGUCGUCAGCUCGUGUUGUGAAAUGUUGGGUUAAGUCCCGCAACGAGCGCAACCCUUAUCCUUUGUUGCCAGCGGUUAGGCCGGGAACUCAAAGGAGACUGCCAGUGAUAAACUGGAGGAAGGUGGGGAUGACGUCAAGUCAUCAUGGCCCUUACGAGUAGGGCUACACACGUGCUACAAUGGCGCAUACAAAGAGAAGCGACCUCGCGAGAGCAAGCGGACCUCAUAAAGUGCGUCGUAGUCCGGAUUGGAGUCUGCAACUCGACUCCAUGAAGUCGGAAUCGCUAGUAAUCGUGGAUCAGAAUGCCACGGUGAAUACGUUCCCGGGCCUUGUACACACCGCCCGUCACACCAUGGGAGUGGGUUGCAAAAGAAGUAGGUAGCUUAACCUUCGGGAGGGCGCUUACCACUUUGUGAUUCAUGACUGGGGUGAAGUCGUAACAAGGUAACCGUAGGGGAACCUGCGGUUGGAUCACCU
rnacentral:rRNA from 2 species